UUGGAGGUAUUGGAGUAGGAGGAGGAGGAGGUGUGGUGGGAGGUCUAGGGGGCGUGUCUGGCCUGGAAGUGCAGGAGCCACGCCACGCCCCUCAGGAGGCCCUCACGCUCAUCCAAGGCGACCUCGUUCCUCACACCAACUUCACGCACACGUUCCUCAAGUCGAUUCUCACGUCGAUCGACAGCAAGGAUCCAGUGGUUGCAAAUGCCUGGCUGGAGACGCUGCUGGAUGUGAUCGACCUUCUGCCAAAGGAAGUUAUCAAAGACGAGAUCCUAACAUUGGCAGUAAGCAAAGGCCAGUCACAGCAAGUGUCCGCUCGCCUGGACAUGU
rnacentral:lncRNA from 1 species